GGCGGCGAGGUCUAUAGUGGCAUUUCCCGGGCCUCUGCAAUACUUUCUUUGUUGCCAUAACAACUAAUAAGGAGACUCAGUUUGACCUUCUUUGUUUCUCGGAGAUGCCUAAAGUGCAAGGGCUUCUCGCACUGUUGUUUUUAAUAGGAAAAAGCCAGCCAGAAGCUGCUCAGGAAAGCAGAGGACAGACUGCAAAGAGCGCGCCAGGUGAAGCAGAGACCCGGAUACCCAGCUGCUGUUUUUAACGACCCGGCGCUCAGCCACUAGCCAAUCAGGCUUCCCCCGCCCCCCCCCUCCCCCCGGAGUGCUUUCCUCCUUGAUGUUAUUAUCUUUGGCCUUUGGUAAUGAUGCAGUCCCCUCCUGUACUGAAGAGCAGAGGUUGCUUGGGUGGAUUUAAAGAUGUCGGAGAAGGAUGGUGACCCAUGUAGAUUUCCUCCACCCCAUAUGACAGUGUUGAAUCAGGACAGUUCAUUGAGGAGUUCAUUGUCAGCCUUCACUGCAAGAAAAGAGUUUGAUUCGUAGGAGCCGGUUCACGACCCAGUGAAACAGGAAAUGCCUGGAAGUGCUUGUCUGCGGCCAGAACCUACAAAGUGCUGGGCGAGUGCUAUCAUUUCUCCUUUGAGGUCAGGCCAGACAGGAAAGGCAGUCGAAGCCCUCUUUCCCGACCAAUUGGCUCAUGGAUGCUGAUGAAAGAGAUUG